CCUACGGGAGGCAGCAGUGAGGAAUAGUGGUCAAUGGGCGGAAGCCUGAACCAGCCAAGUAGCGUGCAGGAUGACGGCCCUACGGGUUGUAAACUGCUUUUAUACGGGAAUAAAGCGCCGUACGUGUAGGGCUUUGCAUGUACCGUAUGAAUAAGGACCGGCUAAUGCCGUGCCAGCAGCCGCGGUAAUACGGCAGGUCCGGGCGUUCUCCGGAUUUCUUGGGUUUAACGGGAGCGUAGGCCGCAUGUCAAGCGUGCUGUGAAAUGUCCGGGCUCAACCCGGGCCUUGCAGCGCGAACUGGCGUGCUUGAGUCCGCGGCAAGCAGGCUGAAUUCGUCGUGUAGCGG
rnacentral:rRNA from 1 species